GGCGUAAAGGGCUCCGCAGGCGGUUUCUUAAGUCUGAUGUGAAAGCCCCCGGCUCAACCGGGGAGGGUCAUUGGAAACUGGGGAACUUGAGUGCAGAAGAGGAGAGUGGAAUUCCACGUGUAGCGGUGAAAUGCGUAGAGAUGUGGAGGAACACCAGUGGCGAAGGCGACUCUCUGGUCUGUAACUGACGCUGAGGAGCGAAAGCGUGGGGAGCGAACAGGAUUAGAUACCCUGGUAGUCCACGCCGUAAACGAUGAGUGCUAAGUGUUAGGGGGUUUCCGCCCCUUAGUGCUGCAGCUAACGCAUUAAGCACUCCGCCUGGGGAGUACGGUCGCAAGACUGAAACUCAAAGGAAUUGACGGGGGCCCGCACAAGCGGUGGAGCAUGUGGUUUAAUUCGAAGCAACGCGAAGAACCUUACCAGGUCUUGACAUCCUCUGACAAUCCUAGAGAUAGGACGUCCCCUUCGGGGGCAGAGUGACAGGUGGUGCAUGGUUGUCGUCAGCUCGUGUCGUGAGAUGUUGGGUUAAGUCCCGCAACGAGCGCAACCCUUGAUCUUAGUUGCCAGCAUUCAGUUGGGCACUCUAAGGUGACUGCCGGUGACAAACCGGAGGAAGGUGGGGAUGACGUCAAAUCAUCAUGCCCCUUAUGACCUGGGCUACACACGUGCUACAAUGGACAGAACAAAGGGCAGCGAAACCGCGAGGUUAAGCCAAUCCCACAAAUCUGUUCUCAGUUCGGAUCGCAGUCUGCAACUCGACUGCGUGAAGCUGGAAUCGCUAGUAAUCGCGGAU
rnacentral:rRNA from 1 species